GUAAAAUUUGUAUAAUACCAUCUUAUCGGGCAAGUAACCCGAAUAGGGGAAGAAUCAAAGUAAUCCCCUAUCAGGCACCUAUAAGCUUAUCAAUCCUAUCAAAGGGAAGUGGACUACAGAGGAAUCUACGUAGCUGUCACCUACGCGAACUACCACUGUCCGGCUGAUCAGGGGACUUCACAAGUAAACCUAGCCUAGGCACCACGCCUACACUACAAAAUACUACUUCAACCAAGUUACG
rnacentral:lncRNA from 1 species